rnacentral:rRNA from 1 species
UACGUAGGGGGCAAGCGUUAUCCGGAUUUACUGGGUGUAAAGGGAGCGCAGGCGGCCUGGCAAGCCUGAUGUGAAAUACCGGGGCCCAACCCCGGGGCUGCAUUGGGAACUGCCAGGCUGGAGUGCCGGAGAGGCAGGCGGAAUUCCUAGUGUAGCGGUGAAAUGCGUAGAUAUUAGGAGGAACACCAGUGGCGAAGGCGGCCUGCUGGACGGUGACUGGCGCUGAGGCUCGAAAGCGUGGGGAGCAAACAGG